rnacentral:rRNA from 1 species
AGAGUUUGAUCCUGGCUCAGGAUGAACGCUAGCGGCAGGCUUAACACAUGCAAGUCGAGGGGCAGCGAGAUCAAAGCUUGCUUUGAUUGUCGGCGACCGGCGCACGGGUGCGUAACGCGUAUGCAACCUACCCACUACAGGGGGAUAACACUGAGAAAUCGGUACUAAUACCCCAUAAUAUCUUGGAAGGCAUCUUUCGAGGUUGAAAACUCCGGUGGUAGUGGAUGGGCAUGCGUUGUAUUAGCUGGUUGGUGAGGUAACGGCUCACCAAGGCGACGAUACAUAGGGGGACUGAGAGGUUAACCCCCCACACUGGUACUGAGACACGGCCCAGACUCCUACGGGAGGCAGCAGUGAGGAAUAUUGGUCAAUGGACGCAAGUCUGAACCAGCCAUGCCGCGUGCAGGAUGACGGCUCUAUGAGUUGUAAACUGCUUUUGUACGAGGGUAAACGCAGAUACGUGUAUCUGUCUGAAAGUAUCGUACGAAUAAGGAUCGGCUAACUCCGUGCCAGCAGCCGCGGUAAUACGGAGGAUUCAAGCGUUAUCCGGAUUUAUUGGGUUUAAAGGGUGCGUAGGCGGUUUGAUAAGUUAGAGGUGAAAUUUCGGGGCUCAACCCUGAACGUGCCUCUAAUACUGUUGAGCUAGAGAGUAGUUGCGGUAGGCGGAAUGUAUGGUGUAGCGGUGAAAUGCUUAGAGAUCAUACAGAACACCGAUUGCGAAGGCAGCUUACCAAACUAUAUCUGACGUUGAGGCACGAAAGCGUGGGGAGCAAACAGGAUUAGAUACCCUGGUAGUCCACGCAGUAAACGAUGAUAACUCGCUGUCGGCGAUACACGGUCGGUGGCUAAGCGAAAGCGAUAAGUUAUCCACCUGGGGAGUACGUUCGCAAGAAUGAAACUCAAAGGAAUUGACGGGGGCCCGCACAAGCGGAGGAACAUGUG